GGCUUAUCAGAUCUCUCUACCCUUGUCUUGUACCAUCCUUAACACACAUCGUAGACUGCUCUCUUUCACCUGGUGUUGUUCCUGCUCCCCGUAAGCAUGCUUUUGUCAUACCCAGUGGUGUAUUUUGAAAUGGUGCUGCCCUAGGCAUGACAGAUCUCGGGCACCCCCUAAUUUGAAUGUACCUGCCCCUUCCUGCCAAGGCCACACCCCUUCCUGUUAACUAAUACACAUUUUGACUGACAGAAACACACUCACGGAC